rnacentral:rRNA from 1 species
GACGAACGCUGGCGGCGUGCUUAACACAUGCCAGUCGAACGGAAAGGCCCUGCUUUUGUGGGGUGCUCGAGUGGCGAACGGGUGAGUAACACGUGAGUAACCUGCCCUUGACUUUGGGAUAACUUCAGGAAACUGGGGCUAAUACCGGAUAGGAGCUCCUGCUGCAUGGUGGGGGUUGGAAAGUUUCGGCGGUUGGGGAUGGACUCGCGGCUUAUCAGCUUGUUGGUGGGGUAGUGGCUUACCAAGGCUUUGACGGGUAGCCGGCCUGAGAGGGUGACCGGCCACAUUGGGACUGAGAUACGGCCCAGACUCCUACGGGAGGCAGCAGUGGGGAAUAUUGCACAAUGGGCGGAAGCCUGAUGCAGCAACGCCGCGUGCGGGAUGAAGGCCUUCGGGUUGUAAACCGCUUUCGCCUGUGACGAAGCGUGAGUGACGGUAAUGGGUAAAGAAGCACCGGCUAACUACGUA